rnacentral:rRNA from 1 species
UACGGAGGGUGCAAGCGUUAAUCGGAAUUACUGGGCGUAAAGCGCACGUAGGUGGUUUUUCUAAGUCAGCUGUGAAAUCCCCGGGCUCAACCUGGGACUUGCAGUUGAAACUGGAAAGCUAGAGUAGGGUAGAGGGGUGUGGAAUUCCAGGUGUAGCGGUGAAAUGCGUAGAUAUCUGGAGGAACAUCAGUGGCGAAGGCGACACCCUGGACUCAUACUGACACUGAGGUGCGAAAGCGUGGGGAGCAAACAGG